UACGAGAAAGAUCAUGAAAUCUACAAUUUAAUUUCUUCUUUAAAAAAUCUGAAUGACCUCCCGUUGUCUGGUAAACCGUGACUUGAAUGCUCCUGGCUGGGAGAGGGCUUCUGAAGGGCGAAUGUAAAGCCCAGUGGGCUGCUGUCGGCCUUGCUGCAGGGGGAGAUGUUGAAGAACGCCAGAGCAGAGACGUCCCACUCCUCGUCCCAUUGUUCCUGUCACUCCGUUCCCGGGCCAUCUGUGCAUCGGCUGUGCAGUGUUUUGCAGUGCCAGUGACGGAACAGCACGCGUCAAAGGAUUUGGAGGUGGGUGCUUUUAUAAGUAAGAGUGAUUCUGUCCCUCAGCAAACCAUGGAGCACUUUGCUGGUGACCUUCUUCGUGAGUGGGGCUGAAAUUGGAUGAUUGCGUGCUGUGUUACUGGACAAGUGACAGGUGGCCGUAUCUCCGAGCUUGAAGGCAGGCAAUCUUACCUGCCCCAGUCCAUGUGUUCUGCUCCCAGUUCCCAGGUAUUGGAUACCCAGCUGAGAUCAAAAGCAGGUUGAAGCUUUACAGCAACAUCAUUAUAUAUUUA